GACGAACGCUUGCGGCGUACCUAACGAAUGCGAGUCGAGCGAGGUGGGCUCAUUCGAACAGUUUCGGCUGUUCACCGGGUUCACCUAGCGGCAAACGGGUGAGUAACACGUGGGUAACCUGCCCCUUGGUGGGGGAUAGCCGGGAGAAAUUCCGGGUAAUCCCGCAUGUACUGGUCGGUCGCAUGGCUGGCCAGGAAAGGCCCGAAAGGGUCGCCGAGGGAUGGGCCCGCGGCCCAUCAGCUAGUUGGUGGGGUAACGGCCCACCAAGGCUACGACGGGUAGCCGGCCUGAGAGGGUGGUCGGCCACACGGGGACUGAGACAUGGUCCCGGCUCCUACGGGAGCUAGCAUCGGGGAAUAUUGCGCAAUGGGCGAAAGCCCGACGCAGUGACGCCGCGUGGGGGAUGAAGGCCUUCGGGUUGUAAACCCCUGUCCGGAGGGACGAAAGCCAGCCCACGGGUUGGUUUGACGGCACCUCCAGAGGAAGCCCCGGCUAACUACGUGCCAGCAGCCGCGGUAAAACGUAGGGGGCGAGCGUUGUCCGGAUUUACUGGGCGUAAAGCGCGCGUAGGCGGUCCGGCAAGCGGAGGGUGAAAGCCCACGGCUCAACCGUGGAAUUGCUCUCCGAACUGUCGGACUAGAGGCCGGGAGAGGGCAGUGGAAUUGCCGGUGUAGCGGUGAAAUGCGUAAAUAUCGGCAAGAACGCCCGUGGUGAAGACGGCUGCCUGGAACGGUCCUGACGCUGAGGCGCGAAAGCUGGGGGAGCGAACCGGAUUAGAUACCCGGGUAGUCCCAGCCGUAAACGAUGCGGGCUAGGUGUUGGCGGUGUCGACCCCGCCAGUGCUGCUAAGCUAACGCGUUAAGCCCGCCGCCUGGGGAGUACGGCCGCAAGGCUGAAACUCAAAGGAAUUGACGG
rnacentral:rRNA from 1 species